GACAGAGGUGCCAAGCGUUAGGCGGAAUUACUGGGCUUAAAGCGUGUGUAGGCGGAUCGUUAAGUACCUUGUGAAAUCCCACGGCUCAACCGUGGAACUGCUGGGUAUACUGGCGAUCUUGAGCCACCUAGGGGCGAGCGGAACAAGCGGUGGAGCGGUGAAAUGCGUAGAUAUCGCUUGGAACGCCAAUGGUGAAAACAGCUCGCUGGGGGUGUGCUGACGCUGAGACACGAAAGCCAGGGGAGCGAACGGG
rnacentral:rRNA from 1 species